GACGAACGCUGGCGGCGUGCCUAACACAUGCAAGUCGAACGGAGAUACGAUUUCGGUUGUAUCUUAGUGGCGAACGGGUGAGUAACGCGUGAGCAACCUGACCUUUAGAGGGGGAUAACACUUGGAAACAGGUGCUAAUACCGCAUAAGACCACGACCUGACAUCAGGAUGAGGUCAAAGGAGCAAUCCGCUAAAGGAGGGGCUCGCGUCCCAUUAGAUAGAUGGCGGGGUAACGGCCCACCAUGUCGACGAUGGGUAGCCGAGCUGAGAGGCUGAUCGGCCACACUGGAACUGAGACACGGUCCAGACUCCUACGGGAGGCAGCAGUGGGGAAUAUUGGGCAAUGGGCGCAAGCCUGACCCAGCAACGCCGCGUGAGGGAAGAAGGCCUUCGGGUUGUAAACCUCUGUCCUUGGUGUACGAAACAAAUGACGGUAGCCAAGGAGGAAGCCCCGGCUAACUACGUGCCAGCAGCCGCGGUAAU
rnacentral:rRNA from 1 species